UUGGAAGAGAUAAGCAUAAUCGCUCACCUUCGGCUUCAGUCUCAGGCAUGUUCGUCACUGUUGCAAGUUGAUCACCAUAAACUUGGCUUUCCAUUGCUUGGCUUUUGUGGCACAGCAGCGAUCAUUUGAUUUUACUCACGGCUGCAGCUGCGGCUGCUUCAGGUGUAGUUUGAUCGGCUGGACGUGCAGAUUCUCUUUCCCUCUAUUUGUGUCUUUAGUGUAGUUUAGUGACUUUUUCAAACAGACGCCUUUCUCGUUUUAAGAGGUUUGCAGCUUACCAAUAAAUGGAAAAGCACUCCCGAGAUCUUUUAAUUCAGUCUGUUGAUCAAAAGUUAACAAAAUAAUUUAGUUUACUUUUGUAGCCCACCUCACUCAACUCGAAUUUUGUCUUAGGGUCAUGCCAUAUCAAGCAUCUUCACAUCAGAUUACCUUUGCAUGGGAGAUGAAAUGGUGAGAGCUACGCAAAAUUUCUCAGUGGGACUAUGUCUACUUUAACAACAUGCACUUCAGGUAUCUGACUCUGACUAGGUUGCAAAGAGGCCGAACGAGCUUAAUGCAUAGCUAUAUUGUUACUGUGAGCUGGAACUCCCAUGCACUCUUUAGCCCUUAUUUCAACACAUUAUCCUUACAUGAAUGAACAUUAAUCAAACCACAGUGAUUGAUCGCAAUAUUAAUUCACCUUUAUUACCUUUGAAAAAAAAAUGGCUUGGUGACUCAAAACAAUAAACGUAAAUGGUAAAGUAAAGUAAUAAAACCCAGGAUUUUUCUUUACUCAGUUCUCUGUUGGUACCAUAUAUGUUGGCGCGCUGUUGGAGCUCAGUUAAACCUUGCAAAUAAUGUCUGUAAUGUCACUCACGGUUCCUUAGGAAACCCUGAAAGUUGGGACUUCUUCUUCACCUCUCUCUCUCGCUCUCAGACCGUCACUCGGUGUUUUGUUUUUCUCUUCCGCUCAAACUCCCUUUUAGGACCCGAUAGGUUGCCAACAACAUCUCUAAGUAAUCACUGAUUUGCUAAUAACAGACUGACACCUGACUGUCGAAUAAACAUCCAACUAUAUGGACUUGAGAGAUUCAAGAGCUACAUAGAAAAUUGGACAUUUCAACAUCUUACCAACUUUUAAUUACUCCAUAUUAAUGCACAUGUUAAAAUUAUUACACAGUAAAUGGUAAAUUUAACCAGUCCAUGUCUCAAUUUACCCUGUACAUUUGUUUCUGAAGUAAACAUUAUAUAAACCAAACUAGCAGGGUUCUACACUUUCAACACACGUAUCAAAAAACGACCUUAAAUUCAUUCCCCACAACUUAUUUGCUCACUAUUUCAUUCUUCCUCUCUCAUUCAAAUAUAAAAAAAAUUUGCAAGCUGUAGUCUUUCCCCUAUAAUACUACCCCUGAGGAUGAAUUAAUUAGGAUGAAAAGGGAUCUGAUACAAUUUCCCAAUACUUUUAUGCAACUGUUAUUUGAAACAAGAAAAAAAAAAAAAUAGAUAACAUUGUUUGUCCAUAACAACAAUAAAAAUAAUGAUAGGCUACCAUUCAAUUAUUUUGGUACAUGUAUUAAUCAGUGUGCAAGGUCACUGAUUAAUACAUGUACCAAAAUACAAGAGGGCACGUGAUUUUGUCACACUCUUUUAUAUUUUGGUACAAGUAUUAAUCAAUGACCUUGCAAGUCAGUGCUUGUCUGGAGCCCUGAAGUUAUUGGUGGGUAAAAUAAUUUUUUAAUUUUUUCAGCUGGAGAGACUUAGUGGCCAGUUCCUACACGUCCUGAAAAUUGUUCUCUUAAUCAGCUUCCUACUAUGAGGGAUUUGGUCCCAUAAACACAUCAUGUUCUGCCAAAGUUGGAAAACUCUUGCCCAGAUGCCCCGAAAGGACGCAUGCAUGGGUGUUAUGAUUAGGCCUUGCCUCCUUCUACUUCCUAGUGUUCUCCGUGUGUUUCCCUCCCCUGCUGUCUCUGUCUGUCUUGUUUGUCAUGUGCUCUGUGUGUGUUUGUGUGUUCAUGGGCGUGUCCGAUCCUGGCUCCUCUCCACCUGCAGCGUCUCACACCUGCGGCUCAUCGAGUAAUCAACCCGUGCAGUCAAAUACUCCGGUUCAGCCCCCACUCUUCACCAGUUCGUCAGUUUACCUCCCGUGUAUCCACCCGAGCCCCGAGACGCUGCCCACCUGUCUACCUGUACCCUGCCUGUCAGCCUGCCAAGCCACUCUGCCCUGAACAGAACCGAAGGAUGCCAUUACCAAGCCCCGCGCUAAACCAUUCGUUCCCUUUUCUGCACUGUUAAUAAUAAAUCAGAUUGUGUGUUUUACAU